AAAUAACAGACCCUUCCCUCAUUGUGUUUUUUGCUCGUGGCAGCAGUGGCUCCUGGAUUCAGCGCUGGAAAAAUCUUAAAUUCCUUAAGUUACAACAAUAGAAGGCAAUGGAAGCUAUAAAAACGCAAAGCAAAACUUGCUCUCAGGCACAAGGUAUUGAGCAGGAGCAGAAAAAGCCAAGGAGGAAAGACACUCCAGUUCUUUAUAUACCACCUCUCACUCCAGGAGUUAAAUUAAUGAAAGAAGAGAAACAAACGGUUUUCACGGAAGAAGAAGAAGAACAAGAAGCAAAGAAUUAACAUUGAAACUUAACCUUCGUGCUUUGUGUUGCUGUGCAUUUUAAAAACUCUUCUUAAAAACUAGAAAUGCACUAUUGUGAUUUUUCUCAGGACUUAAUGUUUUACAAAGGACAUUCUAUAACAAGACAUCCUGAAAAAAAUCUUAAGUCUUAUUGAUAAAGACAUAGAAUGUGUAAACAUGUUCAUUUUUAGAAUUAAAAGGAUAAUACAGUAUUUAUCCUGCACAUCAAACAAAAACAUUAUAUUAUUUGCUGUUUUCUUUUAUUUUGUUCAAUGACACUGUUACACUGUUUUUCAUUAAAAUAUGUGAAAUAUUACAGUGAAACUUUUAAUGAAAAAAGCUCACCUUGUAGUGAUGUACACACAGCCUUUUUUAUUGCUUCUUUUCCAGGUCCAUCAACACUAAACCUCUUUACAUCCUGUCAUCACCUCCAUUGUCUGGUUAUCAGAAAUUCUAUCUGAACUCUAAAGCUGUAAAAAGCCUGUGACCUGCUUUCUCUCUCAUCUUCUUUUCUAACUCUGUUGUCUUCCCUGUCGUCUACUUUAGUCAUUUGGCCUUGGUCAACAGAUGGAGCCUACCUCAUUUGAACUACCUUAACACCACAACUUUUCACCCAUCUUGCCCUUCAGCAAUUCUUACCUAAAUGGUCAGCCUUUUGUGUCUCUCAUUGCUUCACGCCUUCUCUAGUUACUUUGUUUCAUCACCUCAUCACUCCUUCCAUCUCUCUCUCUCUCUCUCUCUCUCCUGACAUCUACUGAAUUUCAGGUCCUCAUGUUGUUCUUUAUACAGUAAAUGCACCUAAGAACUGACAGUACUUUUUUGUGAACUUUUAAUAAAGUAUCUAUCUACAGUGGUGUG